GCCCCAGUGACCUAAUGGACAAGGCACUGGUCUCUACAGCCAGGGGUUGUGGGUUCAAGUCCCACCUGCGGUA
rnacentral:tRNA from 1 species